GCGCCCCUGACAAAGACUGACGCUCAGUGCGAAAGCGUGGGGAGCAAACAGGAUUAGAUACCUGGUAGUCCACGCUGUAAACGAUGUCGAUUUGGAGGUUGUUCCCUUGAGGAGUGGCUUCCGGAGCUAACGCGUUAAAUCGACCGCCUGGGGAGUACGGCCGCAAGGUUAAAACUCAAAUGAAUUGACGGGGGCCCGCACAAGCGGUGGAGCAUGUGGUUUAAUUCGAUGCAACGCGAAGAACCUUACCUACUCUUGACAUCCAGAGAAUUUAGCAGAGAUGCUUUAGUGCCUUCGGGAACUCUGAGACAGGUGCUGCAUGGCUGUCGUCAGCUCGUGUUGUGAAAUGUUGGGUUAAGUCCCGCAACGAGCGCAACCCUUAUCCUUUGUUGCCAGCACAUUAUGGUGGGAACUCAAAGGAGACUGCCGGUGAUAAACCGGAGGAAGGUGGGGAUGACGUCAAGUCAUCAUGGCCCUUACGAGUAGGGCUACACACGUGCUACAAUGGCGUAUACAAAGAGAAGCGACCUCGCGAGAGCAAGCGGAACUCAUAAAGUACGUCGUAGUCCGGAUUGGAGUCUGCAACUCGACUCCAUGAAGUCGGAAUCGCUAGUAAUCGUAGAUCAGAAUGCUACGGUGAAUACGUUCCCGGGCCUUGUACACACCGCCCGUCACACCAUGGGAGUGGGUUGCAAAAGAAGUAGGUAGCUUAACCUUCGGGAGGGCGCUUACCACUUUGUGAUUCAUGACUGGGGUGAAGUCGUAACAAGGUAACCA
rnacentral:rRNA from 1 species